CACAUUUUCCUGAUCGCUAACCCUCCACCUAACUUGGGACCGGACCAGUGGAGGUGGCAGAACUGAGUUUCCCUUUCAGUCGGUUCCCCAGGGUCAAGGGAAACGGCUCCUUCCUCUUCUACAGCAAGCCAUUUCCGUUCUUACCCGCCCCUUUAGGGGCGGAAACUCCGCCUUCUCUCUCCCCUCACCCCUUCGGGUUCCGCGCCCAGUUCAUGACCUCAAGUUGGAAUUUGGCGGGCGUCGCUGCGCAGGCGCACACCUGUGCCAGCCAGCAGCUGGUAGCUAACGCGGAGUCCUCUCUGGUUCUCUUUCUCUUCCACCAACGAUGAGAAGCUUUUACUGUCGGCGUAGGCUUUUAUUUCAAGGGAAAUGAAGAAGCAGCCUGAGUCAGCAGAGAUCAUGGAGCAGGAAACAGCACCUGCUGCCUAUUUUCCUAAAAUGGAAAGGAAAAGAGGAUAAUUAACCUGAACAGGAGAGAGAGAGAGAGGGACAUCACGAGCAGAGAGGAGGAGCAGAGGGAGAGGAAGAAGCAGGCUUCCCACGGAGCAGGGAGCCCGAUGUGGGACUCGAUCUCAGGACCCCAGGAUCAUGACCUGAGCCGAAGGCAGAUGCUUAACUGACUGAGCCACCCAGGUGUUUUAAAAACCCUAGGCCUGACGCCACCUGUCAGGAAGUGCACACUCUGACAUCUCUCACAAGUGCCGCAGGGAGGAGGUGGGAUGCCCAGCAAUGACCCGACAGGAGGUGUGAUCCCUCUGGAAGCAUCUGGAAGCUUCCAGACGCUGUGCUCCUCACUGGGCUCAGGUGCUGAGUGUCAAGCUGAUGAGCCUGACAGGUUAUUCAGGACCACAUUGGGUUAUCCAGAGGAAUAAAAGCACAACAAACUGACUGGGAACCCUUGAUGUCUGGGAGAAACUCACUGUCGGCACCAGCCAGCCGCUGUCCUGCCGCAUUCUUGUCUGCCUGAAAGAAAAGAAAGGAAGAACUCAUGAUUCCAAACUCAUGGCCUAGUACUGGCGGCUACUUGGGAGCAUGAGAAAUGCAGAAAAAAAGGAGGAACUCAAAUGCACAGUUACCUAAUUUCAUCUUCAUAAUCUGUGAACUUGGAACUGGCCACAAGCUCAACAUUGGUGGAUUCCAUUAUAUUAACGGAUACCAACCAUUUAGAGCAUUACCUAAUUUUAUUGUUGGAGGAACCACUGAGAGGACAUGACUGCCAGGUGACUUAGAGCUGGACCCAGACAGUCAGAGACUCCUCACCCCCUCCCCUGCAGGCACUAGAAGCUCCCCCAAAGACCCGGCCUUGAGAUAGUAAUGUGUUGAGACCAUCUAGAUGGUAUACGUGAUUGAACCUAGAUUGUUCACUUCCUUUGGUAUUUCUAGAACUCAGCUGCAGGAAGACAGUGAUGUUUGAAUGUUUGAGGAUGCCAGUAAAGCAAGCUGAGGAAGUAACAAAGAAGAAAACAAGAGUAACUAAGAAUAAUGUAAGUAUAGAAGUUAUUCUCAUUGCUCUUACAUCCACAAAGGAGAAUUCCUGGAGCAAUUUGCUGGUUAAUUUAGUAAAUAAUGGGCAGUCUAUAAAAAUAUAAACUGUAAACUGUAUGAUACAUCUUUUCCCUUAAAUUAAUUAAUGCAACUCUCUUUGUGCAGAAGGAAGUUGGGCAUUGCGAUCAUGUCAGCUGUAAACUUGUUGGUUUACUAGGUUUGUCUUGAUUGGUUCUCUGGAACUCCAUUAACCUGCUUUCCAUCUAGAGUCAAAGACAUGAUCUGCUGUUGAACUCAGAAUUUUGCCAUUAGAGACUGUAAGAAGCAGAGGGUGGGUUUUGCUUUUCCAAUUGAAUCUCUUAUAGGGCUGAGACCAGGUCUUAUAUUGCUUUUCUUAUUUCCCCACUGUUCUUGGAACUGGCCUUUGUACCCAAUUAGUAUUUAAUAAAUACCUGUCUAUUGACAGACUUUCAGACUUGGAAAUGUAGACUAUCAGGAGAUCAACAAGGGAUCAUGCACAAGAGAGAAACAGCUCAGAAAUGAGAAUUUCACUUUGUUUUAUUUUUUAGUAAGUUUUUUGUUUCAGAUGAAACUAUUUUAACUUCAAUCUCAUUUAAUAUGUAAUUUUAAUACAUUUAUAAGUAUGAUGAAAGUAUGACUUCAGAUAGCAAAUUCUGUUAGUCAUUUCCUUUUAGAUAAUGUUUUAUUUGUCCUUGGCCUGGGGAAGUAUCUAAAUGCA